rnacentral:rRNA from 1 species
ACGCUAGCGGGAUGCCUUACACAUGCAAGUCGAACCGCAGCACGGACUUCGGUCUGGUGGCGAGUGGCGAACGGGUGAGUAAUGUAUCGGAACGUGCCUACUAGCGGGGGAUAACUACGCGAAAGCGUAGCUAAUACCGCAUAGCCCUACGGGGGAAAGCAGGGGAUCGCAAGACCUUGCACUAUUAGAGCGGCCGAUAUCCGAUUAGCUAGUUGGUGGGGUAACGGCUCACCAAGGCGACGAUCCGUAGCUGGUUUGAGAGGACGACCAGCCAUACUGGGACUGAGACACGGCCCAGACUCCUACGGGAGGUAGCAGUGGGGAAUUUUGGACAAUGGGGGAAACCCUGAUCCAGCCAUCCCGCGUGUGCGAUGAAGGCCUUCGGGUUGUAAAGCACUUUUGGCAGGAAAGAAACGUCAUGGGCAAAUACCCCGUGAAACUGACGGUACCUGCAGAAUAAGCACCGGCUAACUACGUGCCAGCAGCCGCGGUAAUACGUAGGGUGCAAGCGUUAAUCGGAAUUACUGGGCGUAAAGCGUGCGCAGGCGGUUCGGAAAGAAAGAUGUGAAAUCCCAGAGCUCAACUUUGGAACUGCAUUUUUAACUACCGGGCUAGAGUGUGUCAGAGGGAGGUGGAAUUCCGCGUGUAGCAGUAAAUGCGUAGAUAUGCGGAGGAACACCGAUGGCCAAGGCAGCCUCCUGGGAUAACACUGACGCUCAUGCACGAAAGCGUGGGGAGCAAACAGAUUAGAUACCCUGGUAGUCCACGCCCUAAACGAUGUCAACUAGCUGUUGGGGCCUUCGGGCCUUAGUAGCGCAGCUAACGCGUGAAGUUGACCGCCUGGGGAGUACGGUCGCAAGAUUAAAACUCAAAGGAAUUGACGGGGACCCGCACAAGCGGUGGAUGAUGUGGAUUAAUUCGAUGCAACGGAAAAACCUUACCUACCCUUGACAUGUCUGCAAUUCCGAAGAGAUUUGGAAGUGCUCGCAAGAGAACCGGAACACAGGUGCUGCAUGGCUGUCGUCAGCUCGUGUCGUGAGAUGUUGCGGUUAAGUCCCGCAACGAGCGCAACCCUUGUCAUUAGUUGCUACGAAAGGGCACUCUAAUGAGACUGCCGGUGACAAACCGGAGGAAGGUGGGGAUGACGUCAAGUCCUCAUGGCCCUUAUGGGUAGGGUUCACACGUCAUACAAUGGUCGGGACAGAGGGUCGCCACCCGCGAGGGGGAGCCAAUCCCAGAAACCCGAUCGUAGUCCGGAUCGCAGUCUGCAACUCGACUGCGUGAAGUCGGAAUCGCUAGCAA